CUUGGUCAUUUAGAGGAAGUAAAAGUCGUAACAAGGUUUCCGUAGGUGAACCUGCGGAAGGAUCAUUAACGAGUUAGGGUCUUCUAGGCCCGACCUCCCAACCCUUUGUUUACUGAACCACCGUUGCUUCGGCGGGCCCGUCCUCACGGGCCGCCGGAGGAUCGCCAAAAAGGUGUAUCCUCUGGCCCGCGCCCGCCGGUAGCCCACCGCAAAACUCUGAAUAAAUCGUGUCUUAUGUCUAAGUCAAUGAUUCAAUUAAAAGCAAAACUUUCAACAACGGAUCUCUUGGUUCUGGCAUCGAUGAAGAACGCAGCGAAAUGCGAUAAGUAAUGCGAAUUGCAGAAUUCCAGUGAGUCAUCGAAUCUUUGAACGCACAUUGCGCCCUUUGGUAUUCCGAAGGGCAUGCCUGUUCGAGCGUCAUUAUCACCCCUCAAGCCCCGUGCUUGGUGUUGGACGGCUUCUGGUCGAGUGACAUCGACCCCUCCUAAAGACAAUGACGGCGGCCUGUGGGACCCCCGGUACACUGAGCUUGUAACCGAGCACGUAUCGGAUGAGGGUGCGCAGGUCACGGUCCUUCUUCCCUUAAGUGGGAAAACAUUUUCAAGGUUGACCUCGGAUCAGGUAGGAACACGCGCUGAACUUAAGCAUAUCAAUAAGCGGAGG
rnacentral:rRNA from 1 species